rnacentral:rRNA from 1 species
GCGGGACACGUGGUAUCCUGUCUGAAUAUGGGGGGACCAUCCUCCAAGGCUAAAUACUCCUGACUGACCGAUAGUGAACCAGUACCGUGAGGGAAAGGCGAAAAGAACCCCGGCGAGGGGAGUGAAAAAGAACCUGAAACCGUGUACGUACAAGCAGUGGGAGCCUCUUAAUGGGGUGACUGCGUACCUUUUGUAUAAUGGGUCAGCGACUUAUAUUCUGUAGCAAGGUUAACCGAAUAGGGGAGCCGAAGGGAAACCGAGUCUUAACUGGGCGUUAAGUUGCAGGGUAUAGACCCGAAACCCGGUGAUCUAGCCAUGGGCAGGUUGAAGGUUGGGUAACACUAACUGGAGGACCGAACCGACUAAUGUUGAAAAAU